rnacentral:rRNA from 1 species
GACGUAGGGGGCAAGCGUUGUUCGGAAUUAUUGGGCGUAAAGGGUGCGUAGGCGGAUUCGUAAGUCGGGGUUGAAAUAUCCGGGCUCAACUCGGGGCACGGCCUCGAUACUGCGGAUCUCGAGUCAGGAAGAGGGUAAUGGAAUUCCCGGUGUAGCGGUGAAAUGCGUAGAUAUCGAGAGGAACACCAGUGGCGAAGGCGAGUCCCUGGACAGGUCCUGACGCUGAGGCACGAAAGCUAGGGGAGCAAACAGG